GACGAACGCUGGCGGCGUGCUUAACACAUGCAAGUCGAACGGUGACCCAGGGCUUGCCCUGGUGAUCAGUGGCGAACGGGUGAGUAACACGUGGGCAACCUGCCCCUGACUUCGGGAUAACUCCUCGAAAGAGGAGCUAAUACCGGAUACGACCACUUCGGACAUCCGAUGGUGGUGGAAAGUUUUUCGGUCAGGGAUGGGCCCGCGGCCUAUCAGCUAGUUGGUGGGGUAAUGGCCUACCAAGGCGACGACGGGUAGCCGGCCUGAGAGGGCGACCGGCCACACUGGGACUGAGACACGGCCCAGACUCCUACGGGAGGCAGCAGUGGGGAAUAUUGCGCAAUGGGCGAAAGCCUGACGCAGCGACGCCGCGUGAGGGAUGAAGGCCUUCGGGUUGUAAACCGUCUUCAGCAGGACGAAGCGAAGUGACGGUACCUGCAGAAGAAGCACCGGCUAACUACGUGCCAGCAGCCGCGGUAA
rnacentral:rRNA from 1 species